rnacentral:rRNA from 1 species
CCUACGGGAGGCAGCAGUGAGGAAUAUUGGUCAAUGGACGAGAGUCUGAACCAGCCAAGUAGCGUGAAGGAUGACUGCCCUAUGGGUUGUAAACUUCUUUUAUAUGGGAAUAAAAUGUUCCACGUGUGGGAUUUUGUAUGUACCAUAUGAAUAAGGAUCGGCUAACUCCGUGCCGGCAGCCGCGGUAAUACGGAGGAUCCGAGCGUUCUCCGGAUUUAUUGGGUUUAAAGGGAGCGUAGGUGGAUUGUUAAGUCAGUUGUGAAAGUUUGCGGCUCAACCGUAAAAUUGCAGUUGAAACUGGCAGUCUUGAGUACAGUAGAGGUGGGCGGAAUUCGUGGUGUAGCGGUGAAAUGCUUAGAUAUCACGAAGAACUCCGAUUGCGAAGGCAGCUCACUGGACUGCAACUGACACUGAGGCUCGAAAGUGUGGGUAGCAAACAGGAUUAGAUACCCCGGUAGUC